CUGGGUCAUGUCUCCUGGGUUGCAUGAUACAGCUUCCCUUGAUGGAGAGAAAUGGCCUUGCCUCUAAGACAGCAUCCCUGGAAAGAGCAUGUUCAGGCUUUGGACUCACCCCAGACUUGAGGUCAAGUCUUGAAGGACUUUCAGUUUCCUUAUCUGUAAAAUGUUACCUUCCCCUUGGAUUAUUAAGAUUGCAAAUAAUAUAUAUUUGCAAUAAUAAAUAAUAAUAUGGAAAGAGAUCUGACACUUAGUGGGAACCCAGUAAAGGAGAGCUGCUAUCAUUAUUAUCAUCAUUCCCACCACCACCACCAUCGUGGGCAGGGAAAGGAGCCCUAUGUUGAAAGUUGGGGAAGGGAAGUGGGUGUCAACAGGUAGGGCUCAGUUUGCAUGGCUAGCUCCCUGGGAAUUGCAUUUGCAAGCUUCUGUUUUGCAUGGUGACAGAUUUUUGCAUGCUAUCCCUUUAUCCCUCCAGAUAGCCCCAGUUGCCAUCUCUCUCUAGUUACCCUCACCCCUUCUGAGCCAGGGCUUUCUCCUGCCUGAGCACCUACUGUGGAUGGGACAGGUACUGCAGAGGACACAAAAGAUUCACGAAACACUGUUCCAUCCUGCUGGGGGAAUACCAGGCCUUAAAUUCUUACAAAGCAAAUUUGCAACCACUAACUCCAUGGAGGGUGGUGUUGAAGGUGGUGAAGGGAAACUGCACUGAGGAAGGUUCUGGGAAAGAGAGGGGGAUAAGCAGGAGGGGUGGUGCGAUCCAAUCAAACUAGCAGCUGAAAACCUGCAACUAUCAGGCACUCUUCCUUAUCUAAUGUUCGUAUCAGUUCUUUUAGGUAGUUAUUAUCUCCAUUUUCAGCUGAGGAAAAGGAACUUCAGAAAGAUUAAGUACCUUGUCCAACGUGACACAGUUAGGAAGUAGCUCCAAAAUUUUUCUGAUUGCGUUUACUGUCCCUGGGCUCUCAGUCCCACCUGUGUGCAGAGCAGUAGCUAUGCCUGAACAGGCUCGGGGGCAGUCCCACAAGCGAGCAAUCCACAAAGUUCAGAUUCAAGUUAUUCCCUUGGCAGCUGUGUGAAGUGGGCACUUUUCUCUCCCUGCUUGGCAGCGCCUCUCUGAGUUUAAAUGAGGUGAAGUGAAGUGUGCAGACCUCCCUCUCUCGGAGCUCAUUCUUACUGGUUCUAGUGGUACCCCUCUGGCCACCCUGAUGAAUGUAUCUUUCUCUUCCCGGCAGGGAGGUGGUGUCUCUUCUUCUCCAGGGCUUGCACUCCUAGCUCCUGCAGCUGUGUCUCUGCAGAAUGUGGCUUCUAUAUUCCUUUCCUUCCCCUGUGUUUCCUUGUAUAGGCUCCAUUUCCUCCUAAGACUCCAGGUCCCUCCUAAGAGUCAGAUAACAGCCAGCCAAACACUGUUCUCCAGGUGUGGCAUGAUCAGCGGGGAGAGAAAACAGGCUUUCCCACACUUGUGUCUGCUGCUGAGGACCACAGAGGGUUUUAUGGCAUCUUAUCAUGCUGCUGCUAGAGUGAGGGUGUGCUUGUGCACAUGUGUAAUGAGCAAAGUUUGGGUGGGGAUGACCACCCCUUUCCAGCAACCAGCUGCAUGAACCCAUCUAGUCAAAAUUUGAGUAUUCUGCUGAGCAGGUGCCCUAAGUGAGCCCAGUGAGAGUCAGCCUGGGAAAUCCAGCAGGAAGGACGACGAGGGAAAGAGGCAGUUCCUUGGUCGUCAUCCUCACCGCAGCAUGGAGGUGGUCUGCCUCCGAAGGAAGCCAACAUGGAGGAAAACAGAGUCAAGAGAAGUAGAGAAAGAUGGUACUAAUGCUAUCAUUGAGCCCUUCAUCUGGCUAUGCCAAAAGCCAGAGGCCCUCCUGAGGUUUCCAUUAUGUGAGCAAAUAAAUGAUCUCUUAUGCUUAA